AGCUUAACGUAUCUGAGAGUAUUUUAGUGAACCGUCAUAAGAUCAUUCAAGCUGAGACUGUAAGCACACAAACAAUGAUACUCCAUUCAGUUCUUCUGUUCUCUGCUUUAGUAUGUUCCAGUAAUGGAGAUACUAUUACACCAGACAAAACACAGGAGUUUGCAGCCGAAGGUUCAAGUGUUACAUUGUCCUGCAGUUAUUCCUCUGCAUAUACUCUUUACUGGUACCGUCAGUAUCUCGGAUCAGCUCCUGAAUUCCUUGUGCUCAUCUUAGACGGUGUAAAAGAUGUGAAGACAUCUGAUGUAGAUCAAAGAUUCACUACUAAGAUCAGAAAAGAAAAUCAAAACCGUGUGGAUCUGGAGAUCUCCUCUGCUAAAGUGUCAGACUCUGCUGUGUAUUACUGUGCUCUGCAGCCCACAGUCACAGGAAACAUAUAGAACACUGUACAAAAACCUGCUCGUACAAAAAAGUCAAGUCACGUUUUUUAUAUUAGGCUUAGCUUUAUACAAU